rnacentral:rRNA from 1 species
GCGCACGGGUGCGUAACGCGUAUGCAACCUACCUUAUACAGGGAGAUAGCCCGAAGAAAUUCGGAUUAAUACCCCAUAGUAUUGUUUUACUGCAUGGUAGAACAAUUAAAGAUUUAUCGGUAUAAGAUGGGCAUGCGUUAGAUUAGCUAGUUGGAGAGGUAACGGCUCACCAAGGCUACGAUCUAUAGGGGGCCUGAGAGGGUGAUCCCCCACACUGGUACUGAGACACGGACCAGACUCC